GGAAAUAGUAAGCAAAGAAGAAAAAUAAGCAAGCAAUAACGGGCAUAGAUGGCGAAUUUGAGGUAGUUCCGAGCCGUGGAAUCGCAGCGGCUGCAGCUUCGAAACAGGAAAUCAUUUGUUCCAAGUGUGUCCCUGGAAAAUAUGAAUCUUCUGCCGGAUUGAUGCUCAGCGGGUGGUCCUAACCACCGACAAAAAACCCUUGAACAAUUCACGGUUGGGUAGGAGAUCAAACCGAAACGCUAAGUCGGCCAUGGCACUUUUCAAUCGGACCCCACUAUCAAGCACUCCCAACGGGCUCCGGAACAAUCGCUGCGAGACUUGUCUACAGCAAACGGAUGACCAAUAUGCUCCGGGCCAAGAUUCUUAUGGAAGCAUUGAAUGAUUCUCAAAUGCAGUGAAUAUUGUGAUUUGUGUCAAUUAGAUUGUAAAUAAAUUUAUUUAUUUAUUUAUUAUUAAAUAAAUGUUAAAUAUUAUUAACUAA